UACAUGUGGGGCAAGCGUUGUUCGGAAUUACUGGGCAUAAAGGGUGCGUAGGCGGUUUGUUAAGUCAUUGGUGAAAGUUUUCGGCCCAACCGGAAAAUGGCCUGUGAUACUGGCGAACUUGAGUGCGUGAGGGGUGGGGGAACGAGCAGUGUAGCGGUGAAAUGCGUAGAUAUCGAGAGGAACACCUGCGGCGAAGGCGGGUUGCUGGGCUGAUACUGACGCUGAGGCGCGAAAGCCAGGGAGCGAACGGG
rnacentral:rRNA from 1 species